UACGGGGGGGGUAAGCGUUGUUCGGAUUUACUGGGCUUAAAGAGUUCGUAGGCGGCGCAGAAAGUAGGGUGUGAAAGCCCUCGGCUCAACCGAGGAAUUGCGCUCUAAACUACUGUGCUUGAGGGACCUAGAGGUGAGCGGAACUGAUGGUGGAGCGGUGAAAUGCGUUGAUAUCAUCAGGAACACCGGAGGCGAAGGCGGCUCACUGGGGGUCUUCUGACGCUGAGGAACGAAAGCCAGGGGAGCGAACGGG
rnacentral:rRNA from 1 species